CCCCAAUUAUGUGAUCAUUCAUGGCGCACCAUACAAUUUCUAUUCCCCGAUGUGGCCCUUGGGCCAAAAAGUUUGCCCACCCCUGCGCCAUAGGAUAAUUUCUCAGCGCUUCUAUAGCAUGGAAGUGUGAUGUAUAUACCAAAUUUAUUUGGACCCCAAAAAUGAUGCACAAAAUAUUCUGAAAGGGAAGCAUACUUUGAUAAAAGAACAGACUAAUUAAAAGUCAGCCAUACACAGUGUGACAGUCGGUACCCCAUAUUCAUUCCUUUUUCAAAACUAUGACAAAUUUUGCACAAAGUAUGUCUCACGAGGUAUCAUUUGAAAACUCAUAAUUUGCUGAUCAUUAUUGUCCAAGUACAAUAUGUGUGCCAACAUUGUAUAUAAAGUUAUAAGAUUCUACUGAAUGAUGUUACUAAGACAUUUUCCAAAUCUGGGGAAGCAGUCACAAACCAAUUCCUCAGAGACAAAAGGCAAACUGGCGCCUCAGCCAGGUGUCAACAAAAUCAAAUAGACCAUCACCUGGUUAAAUGGCCAUUCUUUGGCAGGCAAAAGGGUGAGAGUGAGAAAUUUACAUGUUGGUAAAGGAACAACUGGAGGUUCCUGUCCCCACAGACUCUCUCUCUCUCCUGAAUCUCAGCUGGAGAUGAUUCUCAAAGAGGAGGAAAAGGAUAAGAAUGAGGAACAGAUGCCGCAAGUUGUUCCUUUCUCUCUCCCCACAGCAACCACAACACCUGAGGAAUAAAAAAAACAGCUUUGGACUGAGGGGGGAAUCCUGUCUGAAAGGAAUUCUGCCAGUAAGACUGCCAGAACAUGUGGUGUGGGGGGGAAUCCUGUCUGAAAGGAAUUCUGCCAGUAAGACUGCCAGAACAUGUGAGAUUAGCAUCAGGAAACAAAAGUGAAAGCAACAGCCUGAAGGAAGUAUCAGAAUUGGACUUUCAAGACUGACAGUUUUACAACUCAGUAUCUAAAAAUACAAUUUCACCACCCACAUAUUUCGCUUUUAGUGUCACCCAGCAGACAACAGCAGCAGUCUGUUCAAGAUAUUAACAUCUCUACUAAGAGACAGCAAGCAUUAAGCAAAAAUGAACACCGACGUUUUGUUAAGAUUUUAAGGGGGCAGCUGAAAAGAGGCAAACAUGAUAUGCUAUUUCCCACAUGGGUUUCUGUCUACUAGCUUUCGGAGAAGUGACGCUUCUACUUCGCAUGUGACUGUACAAUCCCUGUGGGGGGAAGACAGACAGCGGUGCCUUCCCAUGCAGAUGUUAUUAGUGAAUUCUCAGAGAACACAUGUGAAUUCCUGGAGAGCGAGAGAUCUCACUCUAGUCUACAGUAUUUUCUGGACAGCCAAUCCCUACAGCACGCACAGCGCACACCAUCGUUACACUGGGUUUGAUAUUGGGGGUCCCCGGGCUUGGAACUUUAUUUAUUUUCUGUCAGGGUUUGUUUUCACACAAGCGGUAAGUACUCCCCAUCCGCCCAACGCAGGCCAUCCCCCGUCAGCCCUGCCAAGCCAGCUCCCACCUCUCCCCCCACUGUAACCUCUUCUCCCUCCAGCCCCGGAGGCCCAUGCGCAGGGGGCCCUGCGGGGCGGUGCAGCCCCUCCCUAGUGCCUGCAGCUUUGGCGGGUAGGAGCAGUUUGAAAACACACAAUGAGGGGGGGAGGGGAGCACGGCGCACACUCCCGGGAGCUGCUGCCCGCCCCCCGCGACCUGCUUCCACCCCCGCAAAGCGGGCCGGGCUCGGCUCCCUCCGAUCCGCUUUCCUCAAGCCCGUAUCCACUCCCCGGCCCCGGCCCCCUCUCCCCGCCCGGCGGUCGCUCCGGCCCCGGGCCGCACCACGUCGAUGUUGUUGAAGCCGGUGAGCACCAAAUCUUUGAGCAGCUCGCAGCCGAUGCCGCCGGCUCCCACCACCAGCAGCCGAGCCCCGGACACGGCCUCCGCCAGCUCCCUGCGCAGGGCUCCCGACACCGGCACGGACAUGGCGAGGGGGAGGCAGCGCGCGGGCGGGCAGCGAUUCCGCGCGUCUCUCCUCAGCGCCGGGCCGCGCUCGGGACAACGACGAGCCGCAGCCCACACUGAAGCAGCCUCCGCUGCCUGUAACUGUGGCAGCGCCCCCUGCCGGCGGGGAGGAGAACGGGCCGCUCCGAACGCCAGGCGCCGAUAGCGAACGCGCCUAGCGUGGCUUGACGCCAAGUGGCGACAGCGGCGGGUGGAGAUGCAGAAGAGCCGGGUUCAGUUUCUGUCUUGUACACAAGUCUACUCUAGCGAAGAGCUCAGAAAAAUGGCUCCUGGUGGGCUUGGGUCACGUGCUGUUGAGGGCGACAACGGCUUCCGCCCUCUGCCAGCUGGGAUCCAGUGGCUGUAGUCCUGUCCUCCCCACCAAUUGUGUCUUCACUGCAAAAACACAGAUUGGGCAGGAUUGCUAUCGUGCUGUGAAAACCGCCUCAUCUGAAGUGUAAGCAGAGGGGGUUCUAUUGCUUUUUGAUCUCAUCUACAUGGUGCCUACUCCAUCUAGAUUAAAAAAUCUUUUCAUUUGUAAUCAUAGCUUAGCAAUGCUUAUCUACAAAGGAAUAAUGUUUUAGCUUGUUUUUAAAAUGUGUUAGCCUUAGAGGCACAGCUUAGCUUCACUUCUACGUGCUAAAUACAAACGCAAUGUGUGCUAUCUGUACUAGAAGCUUCCCAUACAAAAACGUUUGUGUGUAAAUGGGUUGGGACUCAAACUUCUUAUAUCCCUGUUUUCACAAUCAAGCCCAUACCUAACCCCUACUGUGCUCUUUGUUAAUGUUUCUUAACAAAGCUCAAUGCAAGGAGAGGUCGUGCAUCUGGAACUCAGUGUUAGAAUCACAGCAGAAAUUCAUAAAUAGACCCUCAUCAUCCUUAGUGCAGUAGUCAGAGUAAGAGAUUUUUGGAUCACAAACUGCAUAUUCACUUAAUGCCAACUGAAGAUAAAGAAAUGCAAUUGAAAUGCCUGUAUUUUAUACUUAAUCUGACUAAAAGAAGAACAGGAGUACUUGUGGCACCUUAGCGACUAACAAAUUUAAUCUGACUAGUAUAUAGAACCCUACAGAAGGGGUCAACUUUUCCUGAUGAACAGUUGCAGGACUCUAGAAUGCUGCCUAGCUAACAUAAGCCAAACAAAAUAAAGCUAGAGCAAGUGUAAUAAGAACAACCUUCCUCCUUUCCCUCCCAUCCCUAACAGUUUCAAAGUAGUCAUAGUGACUAGCUAGAAUAUGUACUACUAAAUCACUAUACAAAAUUGUGUACAUAAGCAAAAGUAGCAAAUCUUGUACAUGUACCAAGUGUAUUAAUAUUCACUUCCCAGCACAGCAGUUUUGGAGUUGUCUUUGUAAGAAUUACUAAAAACCCACACUACCACGUGACUUCAAAAUGUCAUAUUUUGGUGACAUUUUGCUGCACAAAUACUUUCAUUUUACUCAAAUAAAAACUGUAUUAUUUUCUUGAA